AUGUAUGAAGACUGCAAAUCCAUUUCUGCUCAGGAGAUGAUGGAAAAAUGUCCUCUCUCACUACAGAAGAGCACUCUCAAAUUUCCCUGCUACUACUUGAAACGUGGUGAUGCUUUUAAAGCAGACAUUUUCUGUGGCCUUAGCUGCUCACAGGUCUGUCCUAAAACCGAAGUAGCCACUGUGCAUACAUACUAAUGUCACAGAAGAAUGUUGUAGGAAUUCACUGCUUUUUAACUCAAUUUUCAUAAGCCAGUGUUGCUCACAUCUGGGAUAAAGGGGCUAACCUGAUUCUGAAUGAAG
rnacentral:lncRNA from 1 species